rnacentral:rRNA from 1 species
CAGCAGCCACGGGAAUACGUAGGGUGCAAGCGUUAAUCGGAAUUACUGGGCGUAAAGCGUGCGUAGGCGGCUUCUUAAGUCGGAUGUGAAAUCCCUGAGCUUAACUUAGGAAUUGCAUUCGAUACUGGGAAGCUAGAGUAUGGGAGAGGAUGGUAGAAUUCCAGGUGUAGAGGUGAAAUGCGUAGAGAUCUGGAGGAAUACCGAUGGCGAAGGCAGCCAUCUGGCCUAAUACUGACGCUGAGGUACGAAAGCAUGGGGAGCAAACAGGAUUAGAGACCCCUGUAGUCCCUGUCUCUUAUAC